rnacentral:rRNA from 1 species
GGCGUAAAGAGCUCGUAGGUCGUUUGUUACGUCGGAUGUGAAAACCUGAGGCUCAACCUCAGGCCUGCAUUCGAUACGGGCAAACUAGAGUUUGGUAGGGGAGACUGGAAUUCCAGGUGUAGCGGUGGAAUGCGCAGAUAUCAGGAGGAACACCGGUGGCGAAGGCGGGUCUCUGGGCAGUAACUGACGCUGAGGAGCGAAAGCGUGGGGAGCGAACAGGAUUAGAUACCCUGGUAGUCCACGCCGUAAACGGUGGGUACUAGGUGUGGGUUUCCUUCCUUGGGAUCCGUGCCGUAGCUAACGCAUUAAGUACCCCGCCUGGGGAGUACGGCCGCAAGGCUAAAACUCAAAGAAAUUGACGGGGGCCCGCACAAGCGGCGGAGCAUGUGGAUUAAUUCGAUGCAACGCGAAGAACCUUACCUGGGUUUGACAUGCACAGGACGACGGCAGAGAUGUCGUUUCCCUUGUGGCCUGUGUGCAGGUGGUGCAUGGCUGUCGUCAGCUCGUGUCGUGAGAUGUUGGGUUAAGUCCCGCAACGAGCGCAACCCUUGUCUCAUGUUGCCAGCGGGUAAUGCCGGGGACUCGUGAGAGACUGCCGGGGUCAACUCGGAGGAAGGUGGGGAUGACGUCAAGUCAUCAUGCCCCUUAUGUCCAGGGCUUCACACAUGCUACAAUGGCCGGUACAAAGGGCUGCGAAGCCGUGAGGUGGAGCGAAUCCUUUAAAGCCGGUCUCAGUUCGGAUCGGGGUCUGCAACUCGACCCCCGUGAAGUUGGAGUCGCUAGUAAUCGCA